rnacentral:rRNA from 1 species
CCUACGGGUGGCAGCAGUGAGGAAUAUUGGUCAAUGGGCGCGAGCCUGAACCAGCCAAGUAGCGUGAAGGAUGACUGCCCUACGGGUUGUAAACUUCUUUUAUAAAGGAAUAAAGUGAGGCACGUGUGCCUUUUUGUAUGUACUUUAUGAAUAAGGCUCGGCUAACUCCGUGCCAGCAGCCGCGGUAAUACGGAGGAUCCGAGCGUUAUCCGGAUUUAUUGGGGUUAAAGGGAGCGUAGAGGGGUUGUUAAGUCAGUUGUGAAAGUUUGCGGCUCAACCGUAAAACUGCAAUUGAUACUGGCAAUCUUGAGUACAGGAGAGGUAGGCGGAAUUCGUGGUGUAGCGGUGAAAUGCUUAGAUAUCACGAAGAACUCCGAUUGCGAAGGCAGCUUACUAAACUGCCACUGACAUUGAUGCUCGAAAGUGUGGGGAUCAAACAGGAUUAGAUACCCCUGUAGUC